GGCUGCAAUCGUCUCAAUAUCAAUUCUGAUAAUAUGGAUGUCAUUGACACAAUGAAGAACGGUGGAGAGUCUGCCGGCGGCAAUUUUUGAGGAUUGUUUUUUAUGGCCUGUGAUUUUCCACAAACCAGUUUUGAACAUUGUAAUAGAGAAGCGAACAAAGUAGCUCAUGAACUUGCUAGAUUAGCAAAAUAUUCCAUGACUAGGGAUUGGAUAGAGGAGCCCAUGAAAAAUCUUGUAACUCUUCUGAUAGACGAUGUAACUAUUAUUUCUAAUUAA
rnacentral:rRNA from 1 species